GCUGUUCGUGGGGUCGCGAGCGCUGCGUUCCGUGUCUUCGCGUCAGACAGAACCGGCGGCGGCGGCAGCAGAGCAGCGGCGAGCCUUUGCGGCUACGGGUACUUCUGCUGUUCCUGCUGCUCCCGAGGAAGCCGGGGCUCUAGAAGACGGCGGUGAGGGUCCUCCGCCAGCGGGCGCUCCAGGCGUGCGUUCAGCUGCGGUAGGUGGUGACGAAGAGCACUGCGGUGCGGCUGGCGCGGAGGUCGCAGGAGCGUCUCGAGCGUUUUUACCUACCCAGAUGUACCUCCUGCUUGUUCAAGUGUCUGAAGAGUGGUAAGAACUACGGCGUGGGUACACUAAGUGUAGAGACCCUUGCGGUAGAGAAGGUAGCACACGGAAUCAAGGACCUGUGGCCUCAGAGGGGGACCUGGACUGAAGGCGGUUUACCGGUUGAUGAACUGUGGACUUGUUUCCCUAUUUUCAGUCUCCGUACCCCUACUACUACAGUACCUACAAACCUUUUACCAUUGCUGCUCUCAAGAAGUACGUCAUUCUUUGGUCAUUCUUGACUUGAAUCAAAACAUGGUAACGCCAAACGUUUCGAAACCUCCGUUGAAUUACAAAUUCGAGAGAUUAAACAGUAAGAGGGUAUACUUUAACAGGGCAAUAGAUCAACAUAAAAAAGACCUACGAUAAGAAAGUAGUAUCCGGAAAAUAAGACAUCCAUUUAGUCUCCAAAUAAUUUAAUAAUAAAUUCAUUAAAUACCCAAUUGAAGAGGAACUCGACCGAGGACAGAGGUGUACGGAAAACGAGGGAAUUGGAGGAGGAAGGAUACUUUAGAAACAUUCUUCCAUGUAAAGUCAUGUUUUCAUUUGUCCAUAUAAAAUCAUAUUCCUUUGACUCAUAAGAGUGUUUCAUAGUCAUCUUUAAUUUAUAAUCAUACUGUUCUAUAAAAUCAUGGAAGACACUUCUUUAUCAUGUUCACUUUAGUCAGUCCCUCAUGAUGGACUUGUUAUAGUAGUGUUGAAGUGUUCAUACUUUGGCUUGGAAAUCAACGUGGUCCACUGAUAGGAACAGUAGAGGUCUAACUUCGGAGAGUAGAAUCGGAGAAGAGGUUCGUACGUGGCUUCUGACAUCUUUUACGUCUUGUUACAUGUACACUUAACCUUAUCACCUUGAGUCUAGUUGGAAGUCACUUGUCUAUAAAAAACUUGAUAACAGUUGAGACAUGUACCAGGUCUAAUCGAGUAUUACUAUGGAGAGGUUAAGAACGAACGAACGAUGUGGUGGGACUUUAACGUUUGUUCUAGUAUCUAAUCAAGUUUACUACUAGUCAUACAGUACGUGUGGAUCUCUUAGUCCACAGUAGAAUCAUAUAAACAUACGAAGAGAAUUAUCGAAAGGAGCCGUUAGAGUACAUGACGAAGAGUUUGUAAACGCAGCCCGUUGGGCCUCCAUGUACACUAACUAAAUUAAAAGGGAAAAUAUACUUCUAGUAAUGUAUACAGUCG
rnacentral:rRNA from 1 species